rnacentral:snoRNA from 1 species
GGGUCACUUCAUAGAGGACUGUGUGACUGUGAAACCAGAAGCUCUGCUAAGAGCAGAGAAUGGCAUUUUAAUAGACUGCCGUAAUCAUUCAAUAGUGCUAUGUUUUCCUGAGGAGACAGAUGA